CCCGCCCCGAGCCCCGCACGGCCGGGGGAGGAGGAACAGCGGGGCUGGGGAUGGAGGAACCCCCGCGAUAUCAGCGAUAUCAGCGAUAUCCUGCCAGCAUCCCGCUCACACGAUGCAGCCGCAGCUCCCCGGUAGCCCCGCGCUCCCGCUGCCCCAGCGCGUUUUCCGUGCGAUGCUCAGAGGAACAGGCUGGGUCCUGCCUGCCUCCUGCAGCAGCAAGCGCGUUUCGAGCUUUCCGUCUCGGACUUUCUGCCCUGGGCAAAACAAGGUGCCUGACAGCGAGAGGUUUGUGCCAAGGGCAUCCCACGGGAGCCCGCUGCUGCUCGGGUUACAAAGGCUGAGCAAAAAAAUUCUCGAACAGGUUGGACGUGUAAUUACAGAGCCGGAGCCUGCUCCAGCGCAGGGCUGGCUCCUUACCAAGGGACGGAAUUUUGUUUGAGAAUUCACCACUUGAACUUUGUCUCCGGGAAACACAACACAAGCAAGCACAGGCCCCUUCCUUUCCACUCCAGACUUCCUGCACGGCGAGCACGUACAGCCCUGAACCUCAAGUGUGAAUAUUUGGGGUGGGCACAGACAAAAAUUACCCUUGCUCAGCUCCCUCUCACAACGGGUAGGAUCCCACCGGGAUGGGGAUUUGGGGUUUUGAUCCCGAGCAGCUCAGAACACAGCACACGAAUAUCUUUGCAGCUUUUAACAAGCUCUUACUUAACCAGCCUGAUUUCCUCAGGGCUGUGGGCGACGAGAAAUCUGCUGUGCACACAGCAGGGCUCCCAGGCAGGGAGAAGUGCCCAGGGGCAUCCAGAGCUCUGGGAGAACAAGGCCCACCCACACAUGGCAAAAGUAGAAAUGGAGGCCCGGCUAUUUUUGCAGAGAGUGAAAUGUGUUACAAACACACCCUUACAGAGAAAGCCUCAUCUAUUCUCUCACAAAUCCCUGAAAUCACAGGCUGCCUGUGAAUGCACGCUGUAAAUUAACCCACUCCUAACUGCAGUGCUGCACAGCACAAACAGGCAGCAGAAUCAAACAAAGAUGAACCCAGAUAUCCACGUUUCAGCUGCUGGCAGAGUUCUGCUGAACCACCCACCACCAGAGGCUGGCAGAAAACAUUUCCACAGUCAUCCAGGAGCAGACAGAGCAGAAGGUGUGGAAAUCCCAUGGACUGACACACCUGGGCAGUGAUCAGUGCAGGAAUCACUGACACCAGCCCUGUGUGUGUGCAUUUCCUCCUAAAGCUGGGUUAAUAAAAUGUUCAGCCAAAUGCUGCUGUGGCCUUUUCACAGACAAUGGGAUCAGGAACAGCAAGAAACCUUCCAAUGUGAAGUCCCAGCUGGCUGGAGUUGGAAUGAGCAGCAGUUUGGGGCAGGGAAAAAGGCAAAAGAAGUCACUGCAAUUCUUCAGUUUUAUUAGCAAAUGGACAGUAUCUGGACAUCUAAAGGAAAUUUCCAACAUCAAUUCAAAUGUUGUCGUCAAUUCCUUGCACUGCUCCCACACAUCUCUGUCUUUCAUACAGCCAGAGCCUUUGGGUAAACAGAGAGCACAGAAACACACAAAAAUUACAAUAUUUACACAUUUCCCCCCCACCUAAAUGGCCUCAGAUUUAUGGAGAUUAGCAACACUUUGUUCAUUUGACUUUGCAAUAUCAAAACACCUCGAGUUUUAAAAUAAAAAAAUACUACAGUAUUCACAAUAUAAAACUUAAAUAUUUUUUAUUUUUUAAUUAAGGGACUACUAAGAGCUGUUGAGUGAUCACAGCUCUUCCAACAGAAGCUCUGCUGCUGAAGCAGUGGGGAGUGAAGGUUCACAAAGCAACAUCCAUUUCAUUCUGCACUGCUCCUGGUGAGAGUUCAGAUCUUGCCACGCUCAUGACAGUGCCACUGGAGACUUGUCCAGGUGUGGAAA